GACGAACGCUGGCGGCGUGCUUAACACAUGCAAGUCGAACGGAAAGGCCCUGCUUUUGUGGGGUGCUCGAGUGGCGAACGGGUGAGUAACACGUGAGUAACCUGCCCUUGACUUUGGGGUAACUUCAGGAAACUGGGGCUAAUACCGGAUCGGAGCUCCUGCUGCAUGGUGGGGGUUGGAACGUUUCGGCGGUUGGGGAUGGACUCGCGGCUUAUCAGCUUGUUGGUGGGGUAGUGGUUUACCAAGGCUGUGACGGGUAGCCGGCCUGGGAGGGUGACCGGCCACCAUGGGCCUGCGGGACGGAGCAGACGCGAACGGUGGGCAGUAGUGGCGAAUCUGGCACAAUGAGCGCAAGCCGGAGACAGCAACCCUGCGGUCGUGAUGCCGGCUUGCGGGGUGUAAACCGCUGUCGCCUGAGACGAAGCUGUAGUGACGGUAAUGGGUGAAGAAGCACCGGCUAACUACGUG
rnacentral:rRNA from 1 species